rnacentral:rRNA from 1 species
AGGACGAACGCUGGCGGCGUGCUUAACACAUGCAAGUCGAGCGGAAAGGCCCUUCGGGGUACUCGAGCGGCGAACGGGUGAGUAACACGUGAGUAAUCUGCCCCUAGCUCUGGGAUAGCUCCGGGAAACCGGGAUUAAUACCGGAUACGACCACCUUAGACAUCUUUUGUGGUGGAAAGAAUUUCGGCUAGGGAUGAGCUCGCGGCCUAUCAGCUUGUUGGUGGGGUAACGCCUACAAGGCGACGACGGGUA